rnacentral:rRNA from 1 species
GAUGAACGCUGGCGGCGUGCCUAAUACAUGCAAGUCGAGCGGACGGACGAUAAGCUUGCUUUUCUGAUGUUAGCGGAGGGCGGGUGUGUAACACGUGGAUAUCCUACCUAUAAGACUGGGAUCACUUCGGGACACCGGAGCUAAUACCGGAUAAUCUUUUGCACCGCAUGGUUCAAAAGUGAAAGACGGUCUUGCUGUCACUUAUAGAUGGAUACGCGCUGCAUUAGCUAGUUGGUAAGGUCACGGCUUACCAAGGCAACGAUGCAUAGCCGACCUGAGAGGGUGAUCGGCCACAUUGGAGGUGAGACACGGACAAGACGCCUACGGGAGGCAGCAGUAGCGAAUGUGCCGCAGUGGGCGAAAGCCUGACGGAGCAACGCCGCGUGAGUGAUGACGGUCUUCGGAGCGUAAAACUCGGUUAUGAGUGAAGAACAGAUGUGUAAGUAACUGUGCACAUCUUGACGGUACCUAAUCAGAAAGCCACGGCUAACUACGUG